AAUUUGUACUUUAUGGCUAUGAUUAAUGUGUUUUGUAGUUCCUUCAAGCACUCAAGAAGGACCACCGAUAUGCUAAAGUUGAUUCAUUAUUUACACCACUGUCAAGCAAUUUUCAUUUAUUUUCUUUUUUGGCUUUAAUUCAUGAGGCUAGACACUAUAAAUAUAAAUCAAUGGUGAUACUCAAGUAUCCCUUAACACUCUUUGUCAAAAAAACUAAGUAUCCCUUAACACUCUCAUUCUUUCUUUCUCUAGUCUUUAUCUAUAUUUCAAUUUUCACUCCGCCAAUUCCACCACUAUUCCCAUUAGAGAAGAAAUAACCGUGAUGUAAAUUUCAAUGAAAAUGUAGUUAAGGUUAUUGUGUCCGUGUGUUGUGCACAGGUUACCUCCCUUUAAAAUUGAUCCUUCCACUUAACCAUAGUGUUGAGAUGGACACGCUUAGAGCUCGUGAAAGAGCUUGCCACCCAAUAAUAUUGCAUUGUUUGUUAGGCUUCGCCAAGUUCUCAGUCAAAGGCAACUCAGAUCCAAACUUAUUUGGGAUGUAUACUACAAAAAUCAAGUUGGAAUCUCCACCAAAGGAGUUUAAUGUUAUAAUUGAUAUUGGAAGUGAUCUUUUGUGGGUUAAUUGCAACUAAGUUGUAACUGCCCUCAAUCCAGUGGACUUGGGAUUAAACUCAAUAUUGCUGGUGGAGCAUCUAUGAAUUCUAAUGCAUAAUGAUAUCAUGGGUUUUGCAACUUGGUGCAUCCAUUUCCCGGGGACUCAACAUAUAAUUAAGAGAUCUUGUGAUAAGAUAAUUGUGAAUAGGAUGGACCGACUAUAAUUGUAUGUUCAUCACUUGAACUUUUGUUUCCAACAAGAAGUAUAUAGUGCUUCAAUUUGUUUUAAAAUUGAAAACUAUUUUUAGGUUCUAUGUCUAUUAAUGUCUGUGACAUUGAGCAAGAACAACAACAUCAAUCCAAGAGCAAAAUGAUGGAGUGACGGAUUCUCUCCAAAUUGUUACUUGUAACCAUUGUGGCACUUUUAUGCACAUAAUAUAAUCUCCAUGAGGGCACCACAUUUGUAAUUUAAACUCAAGAUUCAAUUUAUAUAGUGUAGGAUUUAUAUGUUAUUUUUAGGUUCUUAUAUGUUAACGUCGACAACAAGAAAAUCAAUGCAAGAGCAAAAUGGGCGAGUGAUAAUAGCUCAAAGAUAGAUAUUCUAUCCAAGUCAUUAGUUGUAACCAUUGUAGUAUUUUUUGUUAUCAUAAUAUAAUAUUCAUAAAGUCACCAUAUUUGUAAUUUAAAUCCAAGAUUCAAUAUUUGUAAUGUAGUAUUCAUAUGUUCAAAAUCUAUAACUUUA